rnacentral:sRNA from 1 species
CUUGUGCCUCAGAAUCAUCAUAGACGCUCAAAAAUGGGAGAAAUCUUCUUAUCUCGUUGCUGGUCCAAUACCACAGCAUACACAUGGGGAAACUGAGGCCCCCAAAACGAAGGCAAAUUAGUGACAGGAGGAGGAGUUGAGCCCAAUCCCUACUUGCCUCCAUGGCUGGAACAUCAAAGUGGGACCCUGAAGAUGUGAACCUUGAAGGCAGCAAAGAAAAUGUGGAGCUACUGGGAUCCCAGGUGCACCGGGACCCUGUGAGGACAGCACACCUGCGUGAUGAUGAUUAACACCUGGAGCCAGCUCAUCAGCUCAGAGCUAAGGGUCAGGAGUUUUUUCAGUAACGCAGCAGGGAUCAAUCUGCACUGACACCGCGGCAGGAACUGAAGCUGCCCUGGAAAGUGAGGAACCAGGAGCCGUCACUAAGUGUGGCUGGUCUACAUCAUAGCUCAUCAUGGAGCUACGACUUUGGGAACCGCGGACAGACCUGGAUAGGCCCAGCAUUUGUUCUGAAGAUUACAAGUUCACAGACAGCUCUUGCUUUGUAAAGAUAAUCCAAAGGACAUUAGACCCGCUUUUCCUUUUCCCUUUAUUCCCUUGAGAGUCAGCCAUAAACUGAAUAGCUGCUAGGUUCCAGGAAUGAGUUCACCUAACAAAUAGCAAAUGUGUCUGGUUAGAUCUCAGCAGAGCCCACUCUGCAAGACCUGGCUGAGCCAGAUGAGAGGGUGGGACCUGUGCUGGGGGACCUUGGGUCACACACAGGAACCAAGACCUGGCUUCCGCCCCCCAGUCACCCACUUGAGUUAUCUGCUGGAAGUUAUAGACAGGACUGCGUGGCCAACCAAGUGUUUGUGAGAUCACUGACACUGCAAAAACAAAGCAAACUGCUCCAGGUACCAGGACUUCCUCCAACCUGGCAAGGUGUGUGCUGAGGCGGGGUUUGC